UACAGAGGUGGCAAGCGUUGUUCGGAAUUACUGGGCGUAAAGGGCGCGUAGGCGGCUUUUUAAGUCAGACGUGAAAUCCCCCGGCUUAACCUGGGAACUGCGUCUGAUACUGGGAAGCUUGAGUUCGGGAGAGGGAUGUAGAAUUCCAGGUGUAGCGGUGAAAUGCGUAGAUAUCUGGAGGAACACCAAUGGCGAAAGCAGCUUCUGGGACGGUACUGACGCUGAGACGCGAAAGCGUGGGGAGCGAACAGG
rnacentral:rRNA from 1 species